rnacentral:rRNA from 1 species
CCUACGGGCGGCAGCAGUGGGGAAUAUUGGACAAUGGGCGAAAGCCUGAUCCAGCCAUGCCGCGUGUGUGAAGAAGGCCUUCGGGUUGUAAAGCACUUUCAGUGGGGAAGAAAGCCUUGGGGCUAAUACCCUCGAGGAAGGACAUCACCCACAGAAGAAGCACCGGCUAACUCCGUGCCAGCAGCCGCGGUAAUACGGAGGGUGCGAGCGUUAAUCGGAAUUACUGGGCGUAAAGCGCGCGUAGGCGGUCUGAUAAGCCGGUUGUGAAAGCCCCGGGCUCAACCUGGGAACGGCAUCCGGAACGGUAAGGCUAGAGUGCAGGAGAGGAAGGUAGAAUUCCCGGUGUAGCGGUGAAAUGCGUAGAGAUCGGGAGGAAUACCAGUGGCGAAGGCGGCCUUCUGGACUGACACUGACGCUGAGGUGCGAAAGCGUGGGUAGCAAACAGGAUUAGAUACCGUGAGUC